rnacentral:rRNA from 1 species
GACAGAGGGUGCAAACGUUGUUCGGAAUUACUGGGCGUAAAGCGCGUGUAGGCUGCCUUGCAAGUCGGGUGUGAAAGCCCUGGGCUCAACCUAGGAAGUGCACUCAAAACUGCAAGGCUGGAGUCCUGGAGAGGAAGGCGGAAUUCUCGGUGUAGAGGUGAAAUUCGUAGAUAUCGAGAGGAACACCGGUGGCGAAGGCGGCCUUCUGGACAGUGACUGACGCUGAGACGCGAAAGCGUGGGGAGCAAACAGG